rnacentral:rRNA from 1 species
CAGAAGGGAGCUUGCUCCCGGAUGUUAGCGGCGGACGGGUGAGUAACACGUGGGUAACCUGCCUGUAAGACUGGGAUAACUCCGGGAAACCGGAGCUAAUACCGGAUAGUUCCUUGAACCGCAUGGUUCAAGGAUGAAAGACGGUUUCGGCUGUCACUUACAGAUGGACCCGCGGCGCAUUAGCUAGUUGGUGGGGUAAUGGCUCACCAAGGCGACGAUGCGUAGCCGACCUGAGAGGGUGAUCGGCCACACUGGGACUGAGACACGGCCCAGACUCCUACGGGAGGCAGCAGUAGGGAAUCUUCCGCAAUGGACGAAAGUCUGACGGAGCAACGCCGCGUGAGUGAUGAAGGUUUUCGGAUCGUAAAGCUCUGUUGUUAGGGAAGAACAAGUGCGAGAGUAACUGCUCGCACCUUGACGGUACCUAACCAGAAAGCCACGGCUAACUACGUGCCAGCAGCCGCGGUAAUACGUAGGUGGCAAGCGUUGUCCGGAAUUAUUGGGCGUAAAGGGCUCGCAGGCGGUUUCUUAAGUCUGAUGUGAAAGCCCCCGGCUCAACCGGGGAGGGUCAUUGGAAACUGGGAAACUUGAGUGCAGAAGAGGAGAGUGGAAUUCCACGUGUAGCGGUGAAAUGCGUAGAGAUGUGGAGGAACACCAGUGGCGAAGGCGACUCUCUGGUCUGUAACUGACGCUGAGGAGCGAAAGCGUGGGGAGCGAACAGGAUUAGAUACCCUGGUAGUCCACGCCGUAAACGAUGAGUGCUAAGUGUUAGGGGGUUUCCGCCCCUUAGUGCUGCAGCUAACGCAUUAAGCACUCCGCCUGGGGAGUACGGUCGCAAGACUGAAACUCAAAGGAAUUGACGGGGGCCCGCACAAGCGGUGGAGCAUGUGGUUUAAUUCGAAGCAACGCGAAGAACCUUACCAGGUCUUGACAUCCUCUGACAACCCUAGAGAUAGGGCUUUCCCUUCGGGGACAGAGUGACAGGUGGUGCAUGGUUGUCGUCAGCUCGUGUCGUGAGAUGUUGGGGUUAAGUCCCGCAACGAGCGCAACCCUUGAUCUUAGUUGCCAGCAUUCAGUUGG